rnacentral:rRNA from 1 species
GGGACUAUCAUCUUAGCAACAUCAGCCAAACUCCGAAUGCCGGUUAAGUGUUCUAUAGCAGUGAGACUGUGGGGGAUAAGCUUCAUAGUCGAGAGGGAAACAGCCCAGAUCGCCGGUUAAGGCCCCUAAGGGUGUACUAAGUGGAAAAGGAUGUGGGAUCGCGAAGACAGCCAGGAGGUUGGCUUAGAAGCAGCCAUCCUUUAAAGAAAGCGUAACAGCUCACUGGUCAAGCGCUCCUGCGCGGAAAAUGUAACGGGGCUUAAGUGAUACACCGAAGCUGUGGAUUCAAUCUUAUGAUUGAGUGGUAGCGGAGCGUUCCGUAGGCCGAUGAAGGUGGACCCGCGAGGGCCGCUGGAGGUAUCGGAAGUGAGAAUGCUGACAUGAGUAGCGACAAAGAGGGUGAGAGACCCUCUCGCCGAAAGUCCAAGGUUUCCUGCGCAAUGCUAAUCAGCGCAGGGUUAGUCGGCCCCUAACGCGAGGCAGAAAUGCGUAGUGGAUGGGAAGCAGGUUAAUAUUCCUGCACCUGACGGGUAGUGACGGAUUCUGGAAGUUGUCAGUCCUUAUCGGAUUGAAUUGGCAGCCAAGGAGUCCCUGGAAAUAGCUCCCGCAUUUGACCGUACCCCAAACCGACACAGGUGGACUGGUAGAGC